CAAGCCAGCAGGACCCCCUCAGUGCCCGCCAGAUUGUCUCAUUCAGCUAGCUCUCAGGUUGCUGCUGAUUGCCGUCUUUAUUCAUUACCAAAACACUUGCUACAUGGUGCUUGGGCCCUGGCAACCAAACUCUAAAUCCUGCCAGUGAGAACGUAAUUACUAGUACACCGCAAACAGAGAAUGGAGUCUGCUGUGAGUUGUUAGAAGCAGCCGUGAGAUAGACCCGGGCUAUUUUCCUGCAACUGUAGCUGACUACUUGCUUGUCACUUGGUGGGGAAUACAAAAUACGGUGUAAGAGGAAUUUUACCUAGGCUUUCAUCUACAGAUUUAUGAAGUGGCUGCAGCCAUCAGCGCUACUUGAAUGCAGAAGCAUCUAAUUAUAUUUUAAGGACUGGACGGAGGUUUGAUGACCUGUUUAGUCCCAAGAGUCUAUCACACCUCUCAGAUGUGUAAAAGUAAAAAGAAUACCUGUCCUGUGGAAAGAAAAAGCAGAGAAAUCAUUGUAAUUCUAUCAGGUCAGAUGAAGUGGGAGAAGACUGAACACAGAUGUAAUCCCCCCACCACACCAGGUGAGGAGUGCAAGAAGUUCUUAUGGAGCAGUGAGAGACAAGCAGGGAGUGGGAUGCAGCUAAAGGAGAGGCCUACAGAUGAGCAGAAUAUUUCUCCAUUCAGCCUCUGCAAUGGACACUGGACAUAAGUCCCAGGAGCCACACUGGAGAAAAGUGGAAAACUGUGCACUCCUGUACUUAACCUGGUCUCCAAGAGGUUUGAUCUGAACUUUCAUUGUUAAUGCCUGGUCAUAUCCAUCUAGCAUAACACCUAUGUUCUAUGAAUGGCUUAUAAAAGCAGGGAAGUUUGAAAGAAAUAUAGACUUACUGAAUCCAGUAAUAGCAGUAAAGGCAAUUUAGAAAUUUCAAGAUUGGAACAAGAGUAUCAAAACCCAAGAACUCAGCAAAUCUACCCUUGGCAGCACAAGGUAAAAUGUAUGAUUCACAUUGUUUUGUUACAGAAAGGAGAUAAAUUCAACAGUUUCCACUGAAAUAUAGGUUAAAACUGUAAGGAAUGUGAGCCCUUGUAAAAGGGAAGACACCACUUAGGAAAGCUGUCAGAUGUUCCUGAGGGGCAUGUUGUAUAUCUCCUUUGUCUCCUUACAUAGACUGUCUCCCCGAAGCUGACUUAUCCCUGAGUAUCGGCAUGCAUUUGAUUGUUUAAUAUUCUAUCCUUCCUUAAUAUUGUAAAGUACCACAAGACACUGAAACUAUGCUUCAUAAAUUAACAAACAAUAAUAAAACACUGCUUGAGGAACCUGUUUAAAUGAUAUAAUAUUAGCAUGAAUCACAGCCUUAAUGAGAACCAAGGAAACAUUUGACAACGGAGUAUGAUAUGGCAUCAUUCAAUAAAAUAAAGUUAUAACAGCUCUCAGUAGCACCAAAUCAUUAAAUAAAUUAAGCAAACUUUUCAAUUAGACACAGCUUCCUUGGAUUUAAUAGACUUGCUAAUAGUUUGCUUUUGUAUAUUUUGUGGUUUUUCUUUGCAUCUCUGGACAGAGAAAGAGUUUGAACAUCUGAGCAAAUUCACAGGGCGUAACUGAAGAUGAUAAGAAUGUGAAAAGCAGAACUGGGAACAUCACUUUAAGACAUUACGUGAAAUUAUACAUGGGCUAAUUUACAGG